GUACUCUGAAUCAUGGCUAUCAUCUACACAACACAAGGAGAGUAUGAAAGAUCAUUAAAUAGUGACUAAGAUAUAAAUCUGAUAGCAAUAUGCAAACAUAACAAAGUCCUAGAUUUAUGAAGAUAAGCUGAAUUGACCAUCUAUCGAAAAUGUAGUUAGGGGAAGGUCACCUAAGCAGCCUUUCCUUUGCUUUUUUAUAGAGAGGCUGUUUCCAUGAUUUAAAUCCUAGUCAAAGGAACUACCUAACUGUUGCAUCUAGGCUCACCCUCCUAUAUUUAUGCAGAUAACCUCAAUUGACCAUCUAUCAAAAAUGUAGUCAUGGGAAGGUCAUCUAAGCAGCCUUUCCCCUGUUUUUUCAUAAAGAGGUUGUUUCCG
rnacentral:misc_RNA from 1 species